ensembl:processed_transcript Dleu2 deleted in lymphocytic leukemia, 2
GUAAGGUUGGCAAUACUCUACAACUGUAAUUCAAUGUGUAUUGAUGUUACUUGUGUGUUUACACGGUUUUUCUAAUUGCAUUAGUGAUUUUAUGUUUGGUAUGAUUCUGUAAUGAUGUUAGUAACAACGCUCUACAUAUUGUGUCUGUUAAAAUACUAUAUAAUUGUGGGAUGGUAAUGCAGCUCAGUUGGCCAAGUGCUUCUUGCUAGCAUGCACAAGGCCAUGGGUUUUAGCCUUACCACUGCAUACCAGGUACACUUGUAAUCCUAGAUCUGAGGAAGUGGAAAAAAGAGAAUUAGAGGCUUAACAUCAUCCUUGGCCAUAAAGCAAGUCUAAGACCUAUGUAAGGAUCUGUCUUUUAAAAACAAACAAAACAUAAUGACUUCUGUGUGAGGAACUGAUUAUAGGACUUCUAGAUACCCAGAUUUGUAAAUGCUUGGAUCUCCUGUAUAAAAUGUCUGCUCGUGACCAGUGCAUAUCCUCCCUUAUACUUAUUUAAACUUAUCUCUACAUUGUUUUUAAUGUGUAGUGCAGUGGGAUGUUAACAUGGAUAGUUGUAUUAUUCAAGUUAUUCUCUUAAUGAUGAGAAAAAAACUGUACAAUUCAGUACUAAUGCAGUUUUUGUCCAAGAAAUAAGUUUUUUGGUUUGGUCUUUUGAGCCUGGGUCUCACCAUGUAGACCAGGCUGCCAUGAAACUCACUGAGAUCCUCUUGCCUCCGCCUCCCAAAUUCUUUGUUUAAAACUGUAGGCCCCAAUGCCUGGCCACCCAAAUGUUUUGAAUGUGUGGUUGGUUGGAUCCACAGAUGGAGCACUGACUAAUAAUAUAACAAGUAUUUUUAAGUCUUGAACACCUUUCCAGAGUUUCUUGAGAGCUACAGUGGUACAGAAUAUACCCAGUACCACCAAGGCUCGAGCUCUCUUUCCAGCAUUUCCAUAUAAAAGUUUAUUUGAAAGAGUUUAGGAAGUACCAAAUUGUACAUGAAUUUAAACUCAUAUUAUUACUUAUAAUAGAAAAAUACUUUUCUCUUGAUUUGAAGUUUUCUUUAGAUACAGAUAAAGUUUGAAAUGCUACAGAUUAUAACAUAAUCUUGAGUAUAAUGUGCCUAAAUAUUUCAUUUUAAAUGAAGGAGAAUAACACUAAAAUGUGUACGUUGAAUUUUUAAACUUAAAUUUAGAAGAAUCCUUAGAAUAGCUGACCUUUUUAUUGGUUAACUGAGGAAACAAUCUGAAAUUUAAUUUGCAACCUAUGACAUAUUAGGGUAUAAAUCCUAUAUCUUCUAACUUAAUAAUUACUGUUUUUCUUAUUUUUCACUAAAAUGUUUAACAGGAGAUUUUUAUAAGUCAAAAGUAUGAAAGACAUCUCAUCUGUGCCUUAAUAUUUAACUUCAGAUUAAAGCUAACAGUCAUUAAUUUUAUAAAUAUAUUCAGAAUAUUUUAAUUAUUUCAAAGGAAAUGUUCUUUUUUUUUUUUNNNNNNNNNNNNNNNNNNNNNNNNNNNNNNNNNNNNNNNNNNNNACGGAUGGUUGUGAGCCACCAUGUGGUUGCUGGGAAUUGAACUCCGGACCUUCGGAAGAGCAGUCGGGUGCUCUUACCCACUGAGCCAUCUCACCAGCCCGGAAAUGUUCUUUUAACUAUCCCAUGUGCUUUAUUUUAAAUGUUUUACGUCAUUAUUUUAAAAUGUUCAAGAAAACACAUUAUCUCACAAUAAUGUCCUCUAACUCUGUCAUUACUUUUUACAAGGAGUCUCUUACCUUUUCAGAUUAAAGGUUCAUAAUUAAUUCUACCGUGUGUUGUGGAGAUCCUAAAAGUAUUUCAGUUAUUUUUUAAGGAAUUGUCCUCAAAAGAACCACUACUCAAUUCUAAUUUAAAGGUAAAAUUAAGUAAGUUUUAACAAGUUGAUUUAAUUAACUAUAGACUCCGUUUUUGGAGCAUUUUUUCUGUGUAUGAGUACACUGUAGCUAUAUUGAUGGUUGUGAGCCAUCAUGUGGUUGCUGGGAAUUUUGAAUUCAGGACCUCUGCUUGCUCCAAUUGGCCCACUCACUCCAGCUCUGUAGCUGUCUUCAGACACACCAGAAGAGGGCAUCAGAUCUCAUUACAGAUGGUUGUGAGCCACCAUGUGGUUGCUAGGAUUUGAACUCAGGACAUUUGGAAGAUCAGUCAGUGCUCUUAGCCACUGAGCCAUCUCUCCAGCCCCAAAAUUUAAAGCUUUUAUAUGAUAAUGGUAUUGCCUCUUUUACAAAUCUCUGUGGGCCACUGAGGUAAGCAUUUGUUACUUAAGCAUGAUAUCUCUUCACAGCAAUAGAAAACUCCUUAAGAUUACUUUAAUUGUAUAUAACUUUUCCCACUACUUUUCAUAGGGAAGAAAUCGCCUGUAUAUAUUAAAAUAUACAUUUAAGUGUAAAUUUUAAAUAUAUUUUCACUGACUUGGAAAUCUAGAGUUCAUUUCUAUCUUUGUGACUAUUUUUGAAUCAUAAAUAGUAGCAAAAUUAAAGUUAUACACAUUUACAUUAAUAACUAGUUAUCUUUCAAGGAAAUAAUUAGACGUGGAUGUUCUCUUGUGAUCUAGAGUUUUACACAUACAAUUUUACAAGUUAACAUUCUAAUUAAAAUUGGUUUGUUUGGUUUUUUUUUUUUCCUUUUGCAAAGGAAUAUUACUAUCCUUGUAUGAUAUAUUUUUUCUCAGUGUUGUUUCUCAUUAAAUACCAUCCAAAAAGAAAAGAAAAUGUCCUUAAUUGUUUUAAAUAGAUUUGGAUCAGCAUGUAUUUAUACAUACUACUUACAUAUCUUGGAGAAGAAAUGAAAGACCGUUAAUGCAUUCCAUCUUCCAAGGAGUUAAGGGGUAGCUUAGAAUGAGUUUAUUUCUAAUACCUGGAACCUUUUACUGCACAGCUUAUUCGUCCACCAGAAACUGAAGGGGUCAUGUUCUUGGCUUGUAUGUUUAUGAAGUAUGUCCUAGGCGCAGUUUCCAAGUCCUCUGUUCCUUUUUCACUUUCUGUUGUUUUGUUUUCCUUUGGUUUUCUUUGUUUUCUUUCAGUGUGUAGUCAUUAAACCCAGAACCUCAGAGGGCUCUACUACUAAACCAUAUACCAGUACCAAAACCGAAAAAUAUUGACGAUACUUUUGUGCUGAAUAUUCCUCAGCCUUAACUUACUAAUGCUUAUGCCCAAUGGAUCUUCCUUCAUGAAGUACCCUCUCCUCCCCCCCAUUUAUCUUUGGUGAUUUUAAUAAAUAAUACCUUUGGAAAAUGAUAGUUUGUAUGUUUCUUCACUGUGUAUUACAAUAUUUAGGAAUGCUGAUAUGUAAACUUUCCAUGUGCAAUAUUUAAAAUACCAUUUUAGUGUGAAUCAAUGAAAUCUAGUAUUGCACUGAAAUAAAGAGAAAAUUUAAAUCGUUUCUUUAAAGAAAUUGUAAGUUUUAAUAAUUACAGAUUUUAUAUCAAUUUUUAUAUUUUCUUUUCUAGUGGUAUGAAAAUAUUAAAUGUUUGUCAGAUAGCAUUAAAAAUAUACUUGAAGUGAAAUGUGGUACCCACAUGUAAGCCCAGCCCUGUUUAAUUAAACCAAAAAGUACAAAAACAGCCAGGCAUGGUGACACGCACCUUUAAUUGGGAUUGAAGCACUCAAGGCAGAAGCAAGUAGAUUUCUGUGAGUUCCAUGUCAGCCUGGGCAGCAUAUUUGAGAUUUAUAGUAUUUACAUAGUAAGAGAUAAAAAUUUAUUCUAUUUCAGUGCUGAAGAUCAUACCAAAACCAAGCAGAUAAGUCCCUGGCGUUCAUGGGGUUUACAGUGCUGAUGGGUAGUCGAUGAAUACCAGGAUGAAGAAAAAUAUUACCGUUUUAUGUUCUGUGGGAAAAUUAAGGAAGCAAGAUGGGCCAGGCGGUGGUGGCGCACGCCUUUAAUCCCAGCACUUGGGAGGCAGAGGCAGACGGAUUUCUGAGUUCCAAGCCAGCCUGGUCUACAGAGUGAGUUCCAGGACAGCCAAGGCUACACAGAGAAACCCUGUCUUGGGAAAAAAAAAAAAAGAAAGAAAGGAAAGGAAAGGAAAGGAAAGGAAAGGAAAGG